rnacentral:rRNA from 1 species
AUUGACACGCUGGCGGCAGGCCUAACACAUGCAAGUCGAGCGGUAGAGAGAAGCUUGCUUCUCUUGAGAGCGGCGGACGGGUGAGUAAUGCCUAGGAAUCUGCCUGGUAGUGGGGGAUAACGUCCGGAAACGGACGCUAAUACCGCAUACGUCCUACGGGAGAAAGCAGGGUGACCUUCGGGCCUUGCGCUAUCAGAUGAGCCUAGGUCGGAUUAGCUAGUUGGUGGGGUAAUGGCUCACCAAGGCGGCGAUCCGUAACUGGUCUGAGAGGAUGAUCAGUCACACUGGAACUGAGACACGGUCCAGACUCCUACGGGAGGCAGCAGUGGGGAAUAUUGGACAAUGGGCGAAAGCCUGAUCCAGUCAUGCCGCGUGUGUGAAGAAGGUCUUCGGAUUGUAAAGCACUUUAAGUUGGGAGGAAGGGCAGUAAAUUAAUACUUUCGCUGUUUUGACGUUACCGACAGAAUAAGCACCGGCUAACUCUGUGCCAGCAGCCGCGGUAAUACAGAGGGUGCAAGCGUUAAUCGGAAUUACUGGGCGUAAAGCGCGCGUAGUGGUUCGUUAAGUUGGAUGUGAAAUCCCCGGGCUCAACCUGGCACUGCAUUCAAAACUGACAGCUAAGUAUGGUACANGGUGGUGGAAUUUCCUG